AUUGAACGCUGGCGGCAGGCCUAACACAUGCAAGUCGAGCGAGCGGCGGACGGGUGAGUAAUGUAUGGGGAACUGCCCGAAAGAGGGGGAUAACUACUGGAAACGGUGGCUAAUACCGCAUACUAUCGGAUGUGCCCAUAUGGGAUUAGCUAGUAGGUGGGGUAAAGGCUCACCAAGGCGACGAUCCCUAGCAGGUCUGAGAGGAUGACCAGCCAAACUGGGACUGAGACACGGCCCAGACUCCUACGGGAGGCAGCAGUGGGGAAGAUUGCACAAUGGGCGCAAGCCGGAUGCAGCCAUGCCGCGUGUAUGAAGAAGGCCUUAGGGUUGUAAAGUACUUUCAGCGGGGAGGCGUUACCCGCAGAAGAAGCACCGGCUAAGUCCGUGCCAGCAGCCGCGGUAAUAC
rnacentral:rRNA from 1 species